GGAUUGUGGCUCAGCGGGAGAGUGUUUGCCUACCACAUGCGAGGCCCUGGGUUCGAUCCUCAGCACCA
rnacentral:tRNA from 1 species